AGAGUUUGAUCCUGGCUCAGGAUGAACGCUGGCGGUAUGCCUAACACAUGCAAGUCGAACGAAUCCUUUCGGGGAUGAGUGGCGGACGGGUGAGUAACGCGUGAGAAUCUGCCUUUUGGUCGGGGACAACCACUGGAAACGGUGGCUAAUACCGGAUGUGCCUUCAGGGGUGAAAGAUUAAUUGCCAGAAGAGGAGCUCGCGUCUGAUUAGCUAGUUGGUGAGGUAAAGGCUCACCAAGGCAGCGAUCAGUAGCUGGUCUGAGAGGAUGACCAGCCACACUGGGACUGAGACACGGCCCAGACUCCUACGGGAGGCAGCAGUGGGGAAUUUUCCGCAAUGGGCGAAAGCCUGACGGAGCAAUACCGCGUGAGGGAGGAAGGCUCUUGGGUUGUAAACCUCUUUUAUCAGGGAAGAACCAAAUGACGGUACCUGAAGAAUCAGCAUCGGCUAACUCCGUGCCAGCAGCCGCGGUAAUACGGAGGAUGCAAGCGUUAUCCGGAAUUAUUGGGCGUAAAGCGUCCGCAGGUGGCUCAUCAAGUCUGCUGUCAAAGGCAGGGGCUUAACCCCUGAAAGGCAGUGGAAACUGGAGAGCUAGAGUGCAGUAGGGGUAGAGGGAAUUCCCGGUGUAGCGGUGAAAUGCGUAGAGAUCGGGAAGAACAUCGGUGGCGAAAGCGCUCUGCUGGACUGCAACUGACACUAAAGGACGAAAGCUAGGGGAGCGAAUGGGAUUAGAUACCCUAGUAGUCC
rnacentral:rRNA from 1 species